GAUGAACGCUGGCGGCGUACUUAACACAUGCAAGUCGAACGGAAAGGCCCAAGCUUGCUUGGGUACUCGAGUGGCGAACGGGUGAGUAACACGUGGGUGAUCUGCCCUGCACUUCGGGAUAAGCCUGGGAAACUGGGUCUAAUACCGGAUAGGACCACAUUUUGGAUGGUGUGGUGGAAAGUUUUUCGGUGUGGGAUGAGCUCGCGGCCUAUCAGCUUGUUGGUGGGGUAAUGGCCUACCAAGGCGUCGACGGGUAGCCGGCCUGAGAGGGUGUGCGGCCGCAUUGGGACUGAGGUGCGGCCCAGACUCCUACGGGAGGCAGCAGUGGGGAAUAUUGCACAAUGGGCGCAGGCCUGGUGCAGCGGCGCCGCGUGGGGGAUGACGGCCUUCGGGUUGUAAACUCCUUUCGCUAGGGACGAAGCGUUAUGUGACGGUACCUGGAGAAGAAGCACCGGCUAACUACGUG
rnacentral:rRNA from 1 species